rnacentral:rRNA from 1 species
GAUGAACGCUGGCGGCGUGCCUAAUACAUGCAAGUCGAGCGAAUGGAUUGAGAGCUUGCUCUUAUGAAGUUAGCGGCGGACGGGUGAGUAACACGUGGGUAACCUGCCCAUAAGACUGGGAUAACUCCGGGAAACCGGGGCUAAUACCGGAUAACAUUUUGAACCGCAUGGUUCGAAAUUGAAAGGCGGCUUCGGCUGUCACUUAUGGAUGGACCCGCGUCGCAUUAGCUAGUUGGUGAGGUAACGGCUCACCAAGGCAACGAUGCGUAGCCGAACUGAGAGGGAGAUCGGCCACACUGGGACUGAGACACGGCCCAGACUUCUACGGGAGGCAGCAGUAGGGAAUCUUCCGCAAUGGACGAAAGUCUGACGGAGCAACGCCGCGUGAGUGAUGAAGGCUUUCGGGUCGUAAAACUCUGUUGUUAGGGAAGAACAAGUGCUAGUUGAAUAAGCUGGCACCUUGACGGUACCUAACCAGAAAGCCACGGCUAACUACGUGCCAGCCGCCGCGGUAA